UACAGAGGUCUCAAGCGUUGUUCGGAUUCAUUGGGCGUAAAGGGUGCGUAGGCGGCGCGGUAAGUCGGGUGUGAAAUCCCCAGGCUUAACCUGGGAACUGCAUUCGAGACUGCAUUGCUAGAGUAUGGGAGAGGGAAGUGGAAUUUCCGGUGUAGCGGUGAAAUGCGUAGAUAUCGUAAGGAAGACCCAGUGGCGAAGGCGGGGUCUCUGGACAGUUCCUGACGCUGAGGCACGAAGGUCGGGGGAGCAAACGGG
rnacentral:rRNA from 1 species